rnacentral:rRNA from 1 species
AACGAACGCUGGCGGCAUGCCUAACACAUGCCAGUCGAACGAGACCUUCGGGUCUAGUGGCGCACGGGUGCGUAACGCGUGGGAACCUGCCCUUAGGUUCGGAAUAACUCCCCGAAAGGGGUGCUAAUACCGGAUAAUGUCUUCGGACCAAAGAUUUAUCGCCUUUGGAUGGGCCCGCGUUGGAUUAGCUAGUUGGUAGGGUAAAAGCCUACCAAGGCGACGAUCCAUAGCUGGUCUGAGAGGAUGAUCAGCCACACUGGGACUGAGACACGGCCCAGACUCCUACGGGAGGCAGCAGUGGGGAAUAUUGGACAAUGGGCGAAAGCCUGAUCCAGCAAUGCCGCGUGAGUGAUGAAGGCCUUAGGGUUGUAAAUCUCUUUUACCCGGGAUGAUAAUGACAGUACCGGGAGAAUAAGCUCCGGCUAACUCCGUG